rnacentral:rRNA from 1 species
AUUGAACGCUGGCGGCAGGCCUAACACAUGCAAGUCGAGCGAGCGGCGGACGGGUGUGUAAUGUAUGGGGACUGCCCGAUAGAGGGGGAUAACUACUGGAAACGGUGGAUAAUACCGCAUACUAUCGGAUAACCCAUAUGGGAUUAGCUAGUAGGUGGGGUAAAGGCGCCUCUAGGGGACGAUCUCUAGCUGGUCUGUGAGGAUGAUCGGCCACACUGUGACUGUGACACGGACCAGACUCCUACGGAGGCAGCAGUGGGGAAUAUGGCACAAUGGGCGCAAGCCUGAUGCAGCCAUGCCGCGUGUAUGAAGAAGGCCUGAGGGUUGUAAAGUACUUUCAUCUGGGAGGCGUUACCCGCAGAAGAAGCACCGGCUAACUCCGUGCCAGCAGCCGCGGUAAUAC